rnacentral:lncRNA from 1 species
AAGUGUCAAUAGGAUAAUAUUAAAGUUUCGUUAAGAAAUUUUAAUGUUUCGAUAGUUAAUUAUGAAAAAGGAUUAAAUUGCAAUAGGGAUAAAAGUUUAAUUAUAGAUUAAAGAAAAGUUAAAAGGACCAAAUAGGCAAUUAUGCCUUUUUCUAAAGUUGAGGCGGCAUAAUGAAAGAAAUAUCUGAGAUAUUCUAGUUAAUAUAUAUAUUAUAUAUAUGUAAGUAAUGAUUAUUAUUAAUAUUUUAUAUUAUAUUAUAUUAUAUAUAUAUGACAAAGAAAGAAAGAAAAGAAACAGAGAGCAAAACAAAACAAAACAGAGAAGGGAGAAAGAAAGAAACAGAGAGCAAAACGAAACAGAGAAGGAAGGAAGGAAAGAAAGAAAGAAAAGAAAAGUUUGGGGUUUUAAGGUUCAAAGUAAUUUG